rnacentral:rRNA from 1 species
UUAAAUUGAAGAGUUUGAUCAUGGCUCAGAUUGAACGCUGGCGGCAGGCCUAACACAUGCAAGUCGAACGGUAACAGGAAGCAGCUUGCUGCUUUGCUGACGAGUGGCGGACGGGUGAGUAAUGUCUGGGAAACUGCCUGAUGGAGGGGGAUAACUACUGGAAACGGUAGCUAAUACCGCAUAACGUCGCAAGACCAAAGAGGGGGACCUUCGGGCCUCUUGCCAUCGGAUGUGCCCAGAUGGGAUUAGCUAGUAGGUGGGGUAACGGCUCACCUAGGCGACGAUCCCUAGCUGGUCUGAGAGGAUGACCAGCCACACUGGAACUGAGACACGGUCCAGACUCCUACGGGAGGCAGCAGUGGGGAAUAUUGCACAAUGGGCGCAAGCCUGAUGCAGCCAUGCCGCGUGUAUGAAGAAGGCCUUCGGGUUGUAAAGUACUUUCAGCGGGGAGGAAGGCGAUAAGGUUAAUAACCUUGUCGAUUGACGUUACCCGCAGAAGAAGCACCGGCUAACUCCGUGCCAGCAGCCGCGGUAAUACGGAGGGUGCAAGCGUUAAUCGGAAUUACUGGGCGUAAAGCGCACGCAGGCGGUCUGUCAAGUCGGAUGUGAAAUCCCGGGCUCAACCUGGGAACUGCAUUCGAAACUGGCAGGCUAGAGUCUUGUAGAGGGGGGUAGAAUUCCAGGUGUAGCGGUGAAAUGCGUAGAGAUCUGGAGGAAUACCGGUGGCGAAGGCGGCCCCCUGGACAAAGACUGACGCUCAGGUGCGAAAGCGUGGGGAGCAAACAGGAUUAGAUACCCUGGUAGUCCACGCCGUAAACGAUGUCGACUUGGAGGUUGUGCCCUUGAGGCGUGGCUUCCGGAGCUAACGCGUUAAGUCGACCGCCUGGGGAGUACGGCCGCAAGGUUAAAACUCAAAUGAAUUGACGGGGGCCCGCACAAGCGGUGGAGCAUGUGGUUUAAUUCGAUGCAACGCGAAGAACCUUACCUACUCUUGACAUCCAGAGAACUUUCCAGAGAUGGAUUGGUGCCUUCGGGAACUCUGAGACAGGUGCUGCAUGGCUGUCGUCAGCUCGUGUUGUGAAAUGUUGGGUUAAGUCCCGCAACGAGCGCAACCCUUAUCCUUUGUUGCCAGCGGUUAGGCCGGGAACUCAAAGGAGACUGCCAGUGAUAAACUGGAGGAAGGUGGGGAUGACGUCAAGUCAUCAUGGCCCUUACGAGUAGGGCUACACACGUGCUACAAUGGCGCAUACAAAGAGAAGCGACCUCGCGAGAGCAAGCGGACCUCAUAAAGUGCGUCGUAGUCCGGAUUGGAGUCUGCAACUCGACUCCAUGAAGUCGGAAUCGCUAGUAAUCGUGGAUCAGAAUGCCACGGUGAAUACGUUCCCGGGCCUUGUACACACCGCCCGUCACACCAUGGGAGUGGGUUGCAAAAGAAGUAGGUAGCUUAACCUUCGGGAGGGCGCUUACCACUUUGUGAUUCAUGACUGGGGUGAAGUCGUAACAAGGUAACCGUAGGGGAACCUGCGGUUGGAUCACCUCCUUACCUUAAAGAA